AGAAAAUUAUUGCGGCAUGAAAUUUGUCCUUCUAAAACAACUCAGUUUGACGCAGCAGCACUGUAAGAUUAGGGUCAGAGUUAGUAGAAUAUGGGAAUCAACGACGCCGCUGAAUAAGAAUAAUAUUUUAAGCUUAGACUGUUUGCUCAUAGAUGAUGAGGAAUAUGCGAUGCAGGCUACUGUUCGGAAAUACGAUGCAGAACACUUUAGGUCGGUGCUUUCCGAAGGUACUGUGUACAUCUUUGAAAACUUCAAUGUUGUGCCGAGCAGAAAUAAUUAUAAAGUCGUUGAUCGGAAAUAUAUGGUGCAAAUAAGUAAAUGGACGCGUGUACUCAAAACAAACGACGCUGUCAGUUCUAUUCCGCUUCACAGUUUUUACUUCAUCGACUUUGGUCACGUGAAAACCAAAAAAUAAAAUGAUGGUUGCCUGAUAGAUGUUCUCAGUAGUGUUACAUCUAUUGCUCCUCUUUCGCAUACAUAUGUUGCGCAAGAACUAACUGCAAUUAGGAAAUUAGAAAUCCGAGAUAUAGAUGAUCAGGUUAUGUCGGUAACGUUAUGGGACAAGUUUGCUCUCUAUUUUGACGACGAUCUUCUCAAGCAAAAAGAAGUUAAUGGACCAGUUGCGAUUGUUUUGGCAAGUAUGACUGUACGCACAUAUCGAGAUAAUGUUUACCUAUCAACUUGCCCAGCAUCAAGACUUUACCUUAAUUUAGAAAUACCAGAAGUUGUACAAUUCGAGAGCAAUCU